CAGAGUUGAAAAACUCCCUAACCCUUUGUUUAUAUACCUGUCCCGUUGCUUCGGCAGGCGGCCCCAGGGCGGGGCCUCCAGCCUGCUUAGCAGGUGCCUGCCGCUGGCACAAAACUCUUUGUUAUAUAUACUACUCUGAGUCAAACAAAAAUGAAUCA
rnacentral:misc_RNA from 1 species